UCCACAGAACUUUCCAGAGAUGGAUUGGUGCCUUCGGGAACUGUGAGACAGGUGCUGCAUGGCUGUCGUCAGCUCGUGUUGUGAAAUGUUGGGUUAAGUCCCGCAACGAGCGCAACCCUUAUCCUUUGUUGCCAGCGGUCCGGCCGGGAACUCAAAGGAGACUGCCAGUGAUAAACUGGAGGAAGGUGGGGAUGACGUCAAGUCAUCAUGGCCCUUACGACCAGGGCUACACACGUGCUACAAUGGCGCAUACAAAGAGAAGCGACCUCGCGAGAGCAAGCGGACCUCAUAAAGUGCGUCGUAGUCCGGAUUGGAGUCUGCAACUCGACUCCAUGAAGUCGGAAUCGCUAGUAAUCGUGGAUCAGAAUGCCACGGUGAAUACGUUCCCGGGCCUUGUACACACCGCCCGUCACACCAUGGGAGUGGGUUGCAAAAGAAGUAGGUAGCUUAACCUUCGGGAGGGCGCUUACCACUUUGUGAUUCAUGACUGGGGUGAAGUCGUAACAAGGUAACCGUAGGGGAACCUGCGGUUGGAUCACCUCCUU
rnacentral:rRNA from 1 species